AUUUGAAACGAAGGUCCAGAAAGCGAUGGUGAUCCCGGGGCCGGGUACCCCUCCGCCGGCGGCACGGCGCGCUCCGGGCCGCAUCUCCUCUCCGUAGGGCGUGACACUUCCAUGCCUCCACAAUCUGUUCAACCUGUAGGGGAAAGCGGGUCACCACGCAGACCGAAGUCCCAAGCCUCCCGCCCUUGCUCCUCGUUCCCACGUGGCAGAGUGGAUCUGAGUUUGGUUACUGGCGUCCGCACCGGGAUGAGCGGUUCCCGUCGGUUCUGCUCUUCCAGGGCGCUUAGCUCCGCCGGGGCAAGCAAAGCCAGUCUCAGCUCUCGGACCACUGGAGCUGCCACCUCAGCCACGGGUUGCUCUAACACCGCCUGUGGAAGCGAGCCUUGAGCACGUGCCUGCUGCCCGCUUACAGAGUUCCCGUGGCCUGCACCGUUUCGGUGUCCUCGCCCUCCCCCCAGGUCCCACUCACGGCGCCCACGCGUGCCCAGCUUCGGGCUGCCUGGACUAGCUCAGUCUCAUCCACGCAGAGCUUGUCACUGCGUAGCACAGGCAGCAGCGCGGUGGCGGACAGCUCCAGAAAGCCACGGGUGCGGAGCGCCUCCUAUGGGCCGGUGUGUCGGUCAGGGCAGAGAAAAAAUGGCAUGGGGGGGCUACAAGUUACAAGUAUAAGGAUGGGGAGUUGUACCUGGCUGUGAGCUUCUAUAAAGGCUAUGCACCGCUCCUGUAGUGACCCCAGGCCAAAGGUUACAGCAACCUGAGAGCAGAGUAUGAUUAGGCUAGAGACUGAAGAAGCUGGAUAACCCAGAUUUGCACACAAGGUACUGCCACUGAGCACAAUCUAAACAGAAGGCUAGCAGCACCUGCAGUGUCUCCUGAAAGUAGGCAAAGUGCCUUGUGCAGAGCACACAGGUGUGGGGUAGAGGAGACCAUGUUCAGGUCUUUCAAACUCCAUCUUUGAGCCCAAGCUUGGCUUCUAAACUCCACACCCCCACCUUUCUACUAUCCAUGUUUAGAAUUGUUUUGUUGUUGUUUUUCAAGACAGAGUUUCUCUAGGUAACCUUGGUUGUCAUGGAACUCACUCUGUAGUCCAAGCUGGCCUUGAACUCAGAGAUCUACCUGCCUCUGCUUGGAUUAAAGGCAUGCACCACC
rnacentral:lncRNA from 1 species